UUAGUUGAGACUCCCAUUGCUAAGGAGUUGUUAUUUGAAACAAAGUUAUCUGCUACUGCCCAGUCGCGUGCUCGUAGGCAUCUUUCUCGUCGCUCAUCUAAUAACCAACCGAGUGUAUUUCUUCUCUUUUUAUAUCCUUUGGACGUCAGUUUGUCUGUAACUACGACGCUUUGCCGAUCUUGAUCGGACUCUGCUCUUCGGCAAACUUCGGGCACAGAAGCUAACAACUCCCACGAAGGUGCAGAUUGAAUCCUGCCUCGGAUGUGAGAUAAUCACAAUCUAGUAGAACAGGAUCACACGUUUUCUUUCCGGCCAGGUAA